CCGCAAACACAGUAACAGAGUAUUUCAAAACUCAAUUUAAGAAAAGCAAAUCAUAAAAAAAACUUCACAUCACGCGAACGGGAAUCGAGAGAAAUAUGCAGAGAAUGCUUAACGCAACAAGAAUCACGACUGGCCCCACGGCGAUUCCGACCACCACAACAAGAAUCUCUCUCUGUUUCGCACUCCUUAGGGUUUUCUCGACUCUUCGAUUUUGGGGCUUAAACCCUCNAUUUUGAUUUCGAUUUAGGGCUUUCGAUUCACGUUUCUGUGUCCUAAGGAGCACCAAAUCUCGUUUUGAUUUCGGGAGGCGAGAAAGGGGAAGAAGAGGAAUAGUCAUGCUUGAGCGGAAGACGAGUGUAGGUGGUGGCUUCGCGCCGGGGACCACUGGUUUCUGAAAUUUAGGGGAGUGAGGCACGCAGAGACAGAACCAUCUGCAGUUUUCUUUCUCUGAUCCAGUGUCAAUUAUUUAUAUUGAGCAACCUUGUUAAAGUCGUACCUAAAAGAACAUACAACGAAUUUCAGAACAACAUUCUUCUGGCCGUCAAACACAACCCUUAACACAACAAGCAUACCAAGAACCAGCAGGAAUGGCAACAUAUUCGUUCCUCGGGCAAAACGGGUUGCGGUGAUUGAACCCCAAAAUCAAUGCUUCCAGAUAAAGGAGGAGAUUGGGGCACCGUUUGAAUCAACCUAUUAAACCCUAAAACACUUCCUAAUUUGAACUCUGACAGGAAGGUUGGUGUCGGCGAUGGAGAGGGGAAAGGGGUUGCGGAGGAAGCACAAGGGGCAGAUGAAAAACCAAAAAAAAAGUAAUUCAAAUGUUAAAAAAAAAAAUUACGUGGCAGAGAGUGCACAGUGAGACGUGGCAGUGUUGUUAGCCACCUCACCAAAAAAUUAACGCCG
rnacentral:lncRNA from 1 species